rfam:Bacteroides pyogenes JCM 6292 DNA, contig:contig_61.
CCUAUCUUUGUGACGCAUAGGUUUGCGACGCCCACAUUACGGGCAGAGCGAUUAAAAGGGAAUCGGGUGCAAAUCCCGGACAGUCCCGCUGCUGUGAGUUCCAUAUCCAUGUUGCGAGCAACGACAUCUUCUUUAGCCACUGGAAAGAAAUCCGGGAAGGCGCCCGCAACAGGAACAAGUCAGAAGACCUGCCAUGCAUUAAUCUGUUCA